GCUGGGCAUGGUGGCGAGUGCCUGUAGUCCCAGCUACUUGGGAGGCUGAGGCAGGAGAAUUGCUUGAACCCGGGAGGAGGCGGAGGUUGCAGUGAGCCAAGAUCGCGCCACUGCACUCCAGCCUGGGUGACAGAGCGAGACCCCGUCUCAA
ensembl:misc_RNA Metazoa_SRP Metazoan signal recognition particle RNA